rnacentral:ribozyme from 13 species
GUGAAAAAAAAAAAAAAAAAAAAAAAAAAAAAAAAAAAAA